CUGCACAGUGAACACCAAGAAUGCUUUAGUUCCUUGGUUUUGACUCUGUGCUAUAGCGAUGUCUGUUCUUUCCCUUUACAUUGAAAGGACUAAUUUAUCUUUUUAAAAGUAUUCAGAAAGUCAGCACAUCG